rnacentral:rRNA from 1 species
CUACGGGGGGCUCCAGUGGGGAAUAUUGCACAAUGGGCGCAAGCCUGAUGCAGCCAUGCCGCGUGUAUGAAGAAGGCCUUCGGGUUGUAAAGUACUUUCAGCGGGGAGGAAGGGAGUAAAGUUAAUACCUUUGCUCAUUGACGUUACCCGCAGAAGAAGCACCGGCUAACUCCGUGCCAGCAGCCGCGGUAAUACGGAGGGUGCAAGCGUUAAUCGGAAUUACUGGGCGUAAAGCGCACGCAGGCGGUUUGUUAAGUCAGAUGUGAAAUCCCCGGGCUCAACCUGGGAACUGCAUCUGAUACUGGCAAGCUUGAGUCUCGUAGAGGGGGGUAGAAUUCCAGGUGUAGCGGUGAAAUGCGUAGAGAUCUGGAGGAAUACCGGUGGCGAAGGCAGCCCCCUGGACGAAGACUGACGCUCAGGUGCGAAAGCGUGGGGAGCAAACAGGAUUAGAUACCCCAGUAGUC